GAUGAACGCUGGCGGCGUGCUUAACACAUGCAAGUCGAACGAUGAAGCGCAGCUUGCUGGGUGGAUUAGUGGCGAACGGGUGAGUAACACGUGAGUAACCUGCCCUUAACUCUGGGAUAAGCCUGGGAAACUAGGUCUAAUACCUGAUAGGAGCUCCUACCGCAUGGUGGGUGUUGUAAAGAUUUAUCGGUUUUGGAUGGACUCGCGGCCUAUCAGCUUGUUGGUGAGGUAAUGGCUCACCAAGGCGACGACGGGUAGCCGGCCUGAGAGGGUGACCGGCCACACUGGGACUGAGACACGGCCCAGACUCCUACGGGAGGCAGCAGUGGGGAAUAUUGCACAAUGGGCGAAAGCCUGAUGCAGCGACGCCGCGUGAGGGAUGACGGCCUUCGGGUUGUAAACCUCUUUCAGUAGGGAAGAAGCGAAAGUGACGGUACCUGCAGAAGAAGCACCGGCUAACUACGUG
rnacentral:rRNA from 1 species